UGCGAAGGGGGCUAGCGUUGCUCGGACUGACUGGGCGUAAAGGGCGCGUAGGCGGUUCGUACAGUCAGACGUGAAAUUCCUGGGCUCAACCUGGGGGCUGCGUUUGAUACGUGCGGACUUGAGUGCGGAAGAGGGUCGUGGAAUUCCCAGUGUAGAGGUGAAAUUCGUAGAUAUUGGGAAGAACACCGGUGGCGAAGGCGGCGACCUGGUCCGAUACUGACGCUGAGGCGCGAAAGCGUGGGGAGCAAACAGG
rnacentral:rRNA from 1 species